CGGGGGAGGUAGCUUGCUACUGGACCUAGCGGCGGACGGGUGAGUAAUGCUUAGGAAUCUGCCUAUUAGUGGGGGACAACAUUCCGAAAGGAAUGCUAAUACCGCAUACGUCCUACGGGAGAAAGCAGGGGACCUUCGGGCCUUGCGCUAAUAGAUGAGCCUAAGUCGGAUUAGCUAGUUGGUGGGGUAAAGGCCUACCAAGGCGACGAUCUGUAGCGGGUCUGAGAGGAUGAUCCGCCACACUGGGACUGAGACACGGCCCAGACUCCUACGGGAGGCAGCAGUGGGGAAUAUUGGACAAUGGGGGGAACCCUGAUCCAGCCAUGCCGCGUGUGUGAAGAAGGCCUUAUGGUUGUAAAGCACUUUAAGCGAGGAGGAGGCUACUAGUAUUAAUACUACUGGAUAGUGGACGUUACUCGCAGAAUAAGCACCGGCUAACUCUGUGCCAGCAGCCGCG
rnacentral:rRNA from 1 species